GGGGGCUGAUGCCGGGCGAGGAGAGGUGAUGGAUAUUCCCAUGUAGCGCCCGCGGGGGCGGUGCUCUCCCGGACGGUCCGGCGGGUCCGAUGGCGGGGGGCAGCGGCAGCGCGGGGGGCGCCAGGACGGGCGGCCGGGCUGUCCCCCGGCUGGACGGGCUGUUCCUGCGGCGGUUCCUGCGGCUGCUGGCCGUGCUCUUCCCCGGGUGGCCCUCCGCGAGCGCCCUCAUGUUCCUGACUCUGCUCGGUGUCGCCUUGCUGGAGCAGCUGGUUAUUUACCAGGUCGGCAUCAUCCCCAGCCAGUACUAUGAGGUCCUAGGGAACAAAGAUUUCUCCGGGUUCAAAACACUGACUGCCGUUGCCGUGACUCUGAUCAUAGUGAACUCCACGCUAAAAAGCUUCGACCAGUUUAUCUGCAACAUGAUGUACGUGAACUGGAGGAAAUCCCUCACUGAAUACCUCCACAGCUGCUACUUCCAAGGCCAGGUCUACUACAGUCUGCAUGUGCUGCGUGAGGACAUCGAUAAUCCGGACCAGCGCAUCAGCCAGGAUGUGGAGAGGUUCUGCAGGCAGCUCAGCUCCAUGGCCAGCAAGCUCGUCAUCUCACCUUUCACGCUGGCCUACUACACACACCAGUGCUUUCACAGCACAGGCUGGCUAGGCCCAGUGAACAUCUUUGGAUAUUUUGUCAUUGGGACAAUUGCAAACAAACUAUUGAUGAGCCCAAUUGUGUCUAAACUUGUGCAGCAGGAAAAACUGGAGGGCGAUUUCAGGUUCAAGCACAUGCAGAUUCGUGUCAAUGCAGAACCAGCUGCUUUCUACAGGGCUGGGCGAGUGGAGCACAUGCGCACGGACCGGAGGCUGCAGAGCCUGCUGCAGACCCAGAGAGAGCUGAUAGGCAAGGAGCUGUGGCUAUACAUUGGGAUCAACACCUUUGACUAUCUGGGUAGCAUCCUGAGCUACGUGGUCAUUGCCAUUCCCAUUUUUUCUGGGGUCUACAGUGACCUGAGUCCAACAGAGCUCAGUGCCCUCGUCAGCAAGAAUGCUUUUGUUUCCAUCUACCUCAUUGGCUGCUUCAGCCAGCUCAUAGAUCUCUCCAGCACUGUGACCGAUGUAGCUGGCUACACACACAGGAUUGGUGAACUGCAGGAGACCUUGCUGAGCCUUGGCAGAAAAAAAAAUGGUAACUACUCGGAAGCCAAAACGAGCUGGGAUUUGGACGGCAGCCAUUUUGGGGAGGACCCAGUGCCAAGGGACACAGCUUUCCUUCUGGACCAAGUGACACUUUCGGUGCCAUCCUCUGGCAAGCUGCUCAUCAAGGACUUGAGCCUCAGGAUCUCACAAGGAAACAGUGUGAUGAUUGUGGGAAACACUGGUACAGGGAAGACAUCUCUCCUGAGGGUCCUUGGAGGACUCUGGGAGAGCACACGGGGGAGCAUCAAGAUGCUGACCUGCUUUGGCCCCCGGGGAGUGGUAUUCCUACCACAGCGGCCCUUCUUCACCGACGGAAGCCUGCGUGAGCAGGUGAUCUAUCCCCUGAAGGAGAUCUAUCCAGUUUCAGCUUUCUCCCCAGGGUCUGCAGAUGAUGAAAGAAUUGUGCGAUUCCUGGAGCUGGCUGGGCUGACUGAUUUGCUGGCAAGGGCUGGAGGACUGGAUGAGCAGGUGGACUGGAACUGGUAUGACAUCCUGUCUCCAGGGGAGAUGCAGAGACUCUCAUUUGCACGGCUCUUCUACCUCCAACCAAAAUAUGCGGGUGCUCCUGGGCCCUUACAGCCUUGCUCAUACAAGACUGUCAGUAACAACCAUUAUCACUUGGCCAACAAAGCUGCAGGUCACUCCUAAAGCCUGGGAGAGCAGAAGCUGGAACAAGGAGUCAGUCAUAUGCAUCUCACCGGUUUGCCACCAUGUGUCCACUACUGGGCAUCGUGUCUCGCCAACCACAUGGAAGUACCAUUCCCAUGCCUCCUUGUUGAUGGGUUCCCCCACUGCAAGGGGAAAGACAAGGGAGCAGAGCAGAAAAAUCAGGUUCAGGACACAGCUUCCCAUGACCUGCUUGUGGAGCCAUCCCCAAAUAGUGUAGUGUCCUGACUUUGGGGUCUCAUGUUGCUGCUGUUCUUGGCAUUUGUGGGAAGAGGCAGAAUCUGAUGCGCAAGGAUUUGCUGCUCCAGCCCACACUGCUGCACUUACCUGAGCCAAGCACUUUGAGAGAAGAGCGGUCAUACUUCUUCACCCAUUCAUCACCGUAUCGCAGGAGCAGGCGGAUGGCAGUGGGCGCCCCAUAGAACUGGUUAAUUCUUAACCUCUCUACUGUUUCCCAGUAGCGGCCUGGAAUGGAAACAGGGCCAGUGAGCACCCACACAGGUCCUCCCAGCCCAACACCAAGAUAAAGAUAGAAGAGGUGAGAACAAAGGCUCUCUAGCAGUGCCAGGACCCUCAGCCAAGUUAAUCCCAUGAUGGGAAGGACUGAAGCUGUUCAGGAGCAGCAGCAGGCCCUUUUCCUCCAAAUCACAUAGCUCUGCUACUCUCCCUGCUGCAGGGAGGGGCAGGGAAUAACAGCUCCACCCCUGGAGAAGCAGCAGUGGCUUCCUAAGCAGAAGAAAAGACUCUUCCCCUGGUAGCUCUCUACUGGGCAUAGCCUGCGGUCUGCUCCUGAGGCAGCAGAGCCAUUGCUGCAUGUGUCCUGGCAUCAGGCUGCCUGCAGGUGUUGCAGGGUGCUGUGGAAUAUCCCAGCUCCCCCGAGACACCUCACUCACCAGGGUUAGGAUGGACAGGAGUGCUCUCAAAAAGGACUGUGGUGCCACCAUUGCAGAGAGGGCCGUAGACCACAUAGGUAUGCCCCGUGAUCCAGCCAAUGUCUGCCACACAGCCAAAGAUGUCCCUGUCCUGGUAGUCGAACACGUACUAAACAAGAGAAGAGAGGCAGUGAGGGGUAGUGCCAGGGCCUGCCUUCCUCGCAAGGGGGACAACAGGGAGCAGUGUACUCUCUCUCAGCCCUAACAUUACUGCAUCCUUCUAUCUUCCUACCACCCCUGCAGGGACUUUUCUUCCUGCAGAGUUUUUGAAAACAUCAGAAAAAAAAAUAAAAUUAAGGUACUUUAUGAAGUUGAAGGAGAUAGACACUUAAUAAAAAAAAAGAACAGCCAAAUUUACACUUUUCCAAAGGAGAAAAGUGCAAAAAAACCCCCAGCCUUUCCUUCCUUUUGCUGAUGUCUAGACGAGGCUGAUCCAAGUAUCCUGUAGCAUCAAAACAGAACCUUCUGGCUAAGGAAUGUCCCUCUGUACUUACAUGCCUGCAUGUAAGGAGAGGAGUUGUAGGCAAGAGCAAAGUGGUAGAGAACUCUAUGAAUCUCUCCUGGGCACUUUUGGGCUCCUGGACAAUAAACACUCAGGAAACCCUGAGCUCAUCAAGGACCCCAGCAUAGGAGCAUUGAGGCAGCAAGCAGAGGGACCAUGUGAUACUUUGGCUCAGAGCAACCCCAACUUGCCCACAAAAAUUGGAACCUCUCCACCUCAGCUGGAUGAGUGCUGUUCUGUGCCUGCCGGCAGGCGGAAAGCAGAACACGCUCUUCUUCCCACUGCCCCAUUUAUUCCUUGGGAGAGCCUUGGCUGCAAGGCCAGAAUAUGAAGGAAGGAUGCCUACCCUGUGCAGGGCAGAACUGAGUGCUGUCAGAUUGGCAUCGACACAUCCAGUUUCCUUAAGCACUCUCCUUCAUUUAAUUUUCUUAGUGCCAGGCAAACUUCCUAGGGGCUGAUCUCCCAGUAGCCCACCACUUCUUGCUUUCUGCUCUGACUUGUGCGGUUUCAGACUUUCCUGUCUCUUCCUGCAGCUCCAUGCUGCAGGCUGCCAGCUGGGGACUCCAGGGCCCCAAGUGUUCCAUAAUGCUCAUAAUGGAAAAUUCCCCUGCUUCAUCUGUCUUUUUUUAACAGAGCAGUGAGUAUGGUAGCAGCAGUCUGCCCCAUCAAACUGAGGGAUCUGUUUCCAGAUUUCCAGUGCUCCUGAGAGCUAACAUGGCCACGUGCUGCUCACCCCUUGCAUUGCAUUCUGGUAUGGCAGCCCUGGCUCUCACAAACCUACUCUGAUGGUCUCAAGUGGGUCACUUAUUGUGCCGGGCAAAGCUUAGCUCACAGGAAAAUCAAGGGCUUCCACACACCCCGGGAAGUAUGGUCUCCAGCAUUCACAGCUAACAGAGAAGACCCAGCCAGCCCUGAGCUUGCUUAGUCACAGGGUGCAUGGUCUGAGGCACUGCUGGAAAGGCAGUCAUGCACAGGGAGAGCCAGACCCAAAAUUAAGGGACUGUUCAGUUAGGAACUCCCUCGUACACAGAACCCCAUAUAAUUUCAUAGGAAUACCCCUUGCAACCAUUGCUGUGGCCACAUGCAUCUCUGUGCUCAUUGUCCUUUUAUCCAGCUUGGUUAGAGUUUGGUUUUGGCAUGUGUCAUGGUUAAAGGCUUUCCUCCUACCAAAGAUGACCCACACUCUUCAGGUAUAGGCCCUUUUUCAUGAGGGCACUCACCAGCUUUUACAGAUGUUGUUAAAUGUGCCCCUCCCAGAAGCACUGCCUUAAAUCUCCCCAUGAGUUGGGGUACUUACACUUAGGAAAAGCAAACCACAGUUUUUAAGGAGCAAAUGGAUUCUUCCCCCUCACACAGUUGUGAUAGUUUCAGUCUAGGCCUUCCUGGAGACCUGCUUGUAACCAGGAAGGAACUAGAGAAGUGACCAAGGAAGUAUUCCAUGCUAUUCCUUUACAUAAACUGAGGUAUAAAUAAAGCUGGUCAGAGAGACCUCGCUCUCUCUUCUUCCAGUGAGGUUUGGGAACGGUAGAUCCUUGUCUCAGUCUUGCUUAUCUGGAGCUGAGGCCUGCAGUGACUGUUGUGUACCAUGUGUGAGGGGAGAGUGCUGGGCUGCGUCCGGCUGUCGUGCUUUUCUCAAGGGAAGUGAUACAUCCUGCCUUCGGUGGGCAGGGAUGACCUAGUGCAACCCUGUCUGCUGAAUGCACAGGGUUUGGUGCUGUUGCCUGUUGCCGGAAUGGAGCCACUGCCCUCAUGUGGGAUCCACAGAGGCUGAGGAAGAGCAGCCUGGCUCCCAGCACACCCCAAUCCACCUGCAGCCUCUCCAGAAAGACCCAGCUGCUAUCACAGGAUAAGCCACAACCUUACACUACAGCCACUGCAGGACCAACCAGACCUUUCGGAAUCCCCCUCUCUCCAACCCUGUAACAGUGUGCUCUUCCAAUAUGCUCCCAGGACUGAAGCCCCACACAUAGAAUUACCUGCAGGCAAUCGGUGGGAUCCCAUGUCUGCCUCCCUCCUUACCUGCCACGUUCAGCUGCCCACCCAGGAACCAGGAGACCCUGCCCUGGUGCAGAUCGCAGUCCUGGACAGAGUGGAAGGGAGUGAUCCAGUGUGACACCACUCAUGAUCUGUGGAGCUGAUAUGUUUGGUGAACAGGCUGGACACCAGCACAGGGAACAGGAUCUAUCUGCCAUCAGGUACACUCAUCGCACGCUACACACCUGGAUUGUAUCAGAGCUGCCCCAAGGUCGGUGGGUUACCUACAAGGGUUCUGUCACUCUGGGGAAACGCAGUCCUGUGAGCUUACAGUCCCUCCACAAAGUCAAGCCCAACCAGCCUCAUCAUUCCAGAAGUCUCUUAUUUACUAUGCACGCCUGCUCUGCUUCUGCAUUUUUCCCCUUCCUUUAAGACAUUAGGUUUUUCCAUCAGACCAUGCCCAGAUGCCCUUAACAAGGCAGGCAAGUCUCAACUUCUUAUCUGGUAACUCAGAAUAGGUGCCCACUGCUCUCAAAUCAGAGCUCACCUUGCUGGAAAUCCUGUCGGUGCCCAUCCCUUUCAACCAGCUCCCCUGCAUUUGCAGCAUCUGGCUGCUGCCUCAGCUCCUCAGGCCAGCUGAGCCCUGCAGCCUGCUCCUGGCAGAGGGGUUGAGUCUGCCCAAAGGUCUGCCUGACUCUCUAACACCAUGGCACAUGUGAUAUGGGGUGACUCAAAGCACGAGGGCUGUCCUGGAUGCUGAAGUGACUUGUUCUCUGACCAGCUGUAUGCUAUAACUUCUGCUCUGAGUACAAGCACAUCCCUUUCAACUUUGUCUUUCCCUGCGAAGGGAGAGCAGCACCCAAGCCCUGUAUUCUCCAUGCCUGGGUGGGGAGGAAGGUGCAGAUCUCUUUCUAUGCUGCUUUGGAUCUCCCACCCCUCUCUGGCUACAGCCUGACAUCUAAUUCCCUCUCAGCUUUGGCUGAACUCACCCUCCUUGAACACUGGUGACCAGACUCAUACACAGUAUUCCCGUUUAAU